AGAGUUUGAUCCUGGCUCAGAUUGAACGCUGGCGGCAUGCCUUACACAUGCAAGUCGAACGGCAGCACGGGUGCUUGCACCUGGUGGCGAGUGGCGAACGGGUGAGUAAUACAUCGGAACAUGUCCUGUAGUGGGGGAUAGCCCGGCGAAAGCCGGAUUAAUACCGCAUACGAUCCACGGAUGAAAGCGGGGGACCUUCGGGCCUCGCGCUAUAGGGUUGGCCGAUGGCUGAUUAGCUAGUUGGUGGGGUAAAGGCCUACCAAGGCGACGAUCAGUAGCUGGUCUGAGAGGACGACCAGCCACACUGGGACUGAGACACGGCCCAGACUCCUACGGGAGGCAGCAGUGGGGAAUUUUGGACAAUGGGCGAAAGCCUGAUCCAGCAAUGCCGCGUGUGUGAAGAAGGCCUUCGGGUUGUAAAGCACUUUUGUCCGGAAAGAAAUCCCUGGCUCUAAUACAGUCGGGGGAUGACGGUACCGGAAGAAUAAGCACCGGCUAACUACGUG
rnacentral:rRNA from 1 species